CCUUGGUACAUCUGCAGUAACAUUUCUUCCUCCUGGACAUGAGGCGGAACUACUCUCAAAGGAAGUUACACGCCCGCAGCAUUGCUCUAUUGUUAGCUGACCAACCGAGAAGCGGAAUAAAGCAUGUUUCCUGCUGUGAUCUUUCCCGUGUAUCACUUAAUAAAGAUAAUGGGUGGCUUCAAAGAGAAAACAAGAUGGGG
rnacentral:lncRNA from 1 species